GAGGCGAACCGGGGGAACUGAAACAUCUAAGUACCCCGAGGAAAAGAAAUCAACCGAGAUUCCGAAAGUAGCGGCGAGCGAAAUUGGACUAGCCCUUAAGCUUUACACGCGUUAGACGAACGGUCUGGAAAGUCCGACGAUACAGGGUGAUAGUCCCGUAGUUGACGACGUGUGUUCAGUGAAAUCGAGUAGGGCGGGACACGUGAUAUCCUGUCUGAAUAUGGGGGGACCAUCCUCCAAGGCUAAAUACUACUGACUGACCGAUAGUGAACCAGUACCGUGAGGGAAAGGCGAAAAGAACCCCUGUGAGGGGAGUGAAAUAGAACCUGAAACCGUGUACGUACAAGCAGUAGGAGCAGGCUUUGUCCUGUGACUGCGUACCUUUUGUAUAAUGGGUCAGCGACUUAUAUUCAGUGGCAAGGUUAACCAUCUAGGGGAGCCGUAGGGAAACCGAGUCUUAACUGGGCGUUCAGUCUCUGGAUAUAGACCCGAAACCAGGUGAUCUAGCCAUGGGCAGGUUGAAGGUUGAGUAACAUCAACUGGAGGACCGAACCGACUAAUGUUGAAAAAUUAGCGGAUGACUUGUGGCUAGGGGUGAAAGGCCAAUCAAACCUGGAGAUAGCUGGUUCUCCCCGAAAGCUAUUUAGGUAGCGCCUCGGACGAAUACUACUGGGGGUAGAGCACUGUUAAGGCUAGGGGGUCAUCCCGACUUACCAACCCUUUGCAAACUCCGAAUACCAGUAAGUACUAUCCGGGAGACACACGGCGGGUGCUAACGUCCGUCGUGGAGAGGGAAACAACCCAGACCGCCAGCUAAGGUCCCAAAUUACUACUAAGUGGGAAACGAUGUGGGAAGGCUCAGACAGCCAGGAUGUUGGCUUAGAAGCAGCCAUCAUUUAAAGAAAGCGUAAUAGCUCACUGGUCGAGUCGGCCUGCGCGGAAGAUGUAACGGGGCUAAGUAGUAAACCGAAGCUGCGGCAAUGUGCUUUUGCACAUUGGGUAGGGGAGCGUUCUGUAAGCGGUUGAAGGUGUGUGGUAACGCAUGCUGGACGUAUCAGAAGUGCGAAUGCUGACAUGAGUAACGAUAAAGGGGGUGAAAAACCUCCUCGCCGGAAGACCAAGGGUUCCUGUCCAACGUUAAUCGGGGCAGGGUAAGUCGACCCCUAAGGCGAGGCCGAAAGGCGUAGUCGAUGGGAAACGGGUUAAUAUUCCCGUACUUCUUACAAUUGCGAUGGGGGGACGGAGAAGGCUAGGUGGGCCUGGCGACGGUUGUCCAGGUUCAAGUGCGUAGGCUUAAGAGUUAGGUAAAUCCGGCUCUUUUUAAGGCUGAGACACGACGUCGAGCACCUACGGGUGUGAAGUCAUUGAUGCCAUGCUUCCAGGAAAAGCCUCUAAGCUUCAGAUUGUAAGGAAUCGUACCCCAAACCGACACAGGUGGUCGGGUAGAGAAUACCAAGGCGCUUGAGAGAACUCGGGUGAAGGAACUAGGCAAAAUGGUACCGUAACUUCGGGAGAAGGUACGCUCUCGACGGUGAAGUCCCUCGCGGAUGGAGCUAUUGAGAGUCGCAGAUACCAGGUGGCUGCAACUGUUUAUUAAAAACACAGCACUGUGCAAAAUCGUAAGAUGACGUAUACGGUGUGACGCCUGCCCGGUGCCGGAAGGUUAAUUGAUGGGGUUAGACUUCGGUCGAAGCUCUUGAUCGAAGCCCCGGUAAACGGCGGCCGUAACUAUAACGGUCCUAAGGUAGCGAAAUUCCUUGUCGGGUAAGUUCCGACCUGCACGAAUGGCGUAAUGAUGGCCACGCUGUCUCCACCCGAGACUCAGUGAAAUUGAAAUCGCUGUGAAGAUGCAGUGUACCCGCGGCUAGACGGAAAGACCCCGUGAACCUUUACUACAGCUUGGCACUGAACAUUGACCCUACAUGUGUAGGAUAGGUGGGAGGCUUUGAAGCAGGUACGCCAGUAUCUGUGGAGCCGUCCUUGAAAUACCACCCUUGUAGUGUUGAUGUUCUAACGUCGACCCCUUAUCGGGGUUGCGGACAGUGCCUGGUGGGUAGUUUGACUGGGGCGGUCUCCUCCCAAAGAGUAACGGAGGAGCACGAAGGUGGGCUAAUCACGGUUGGACAUCGUGAGGUUAGUGCAAUGGCAUAAGCCGCUUGACUGCGAGAAUGACAAUUCGAGCAGGUGCGAAAGCAGGUCAUAGUGAUCCGGUGGUUCUGAAUGGAAGGGCCAUCGCUCAACGGAUAAAAGGUACUCCGGGGAUAACAGGCUGAUACCGCCCAAGAGUUCAUAUCGACGGCGGUGUUUGGCACCUCGAUGUCGGCUCAUCACAUCCUGGGGCUGAAGUCGGUCCCAAGGGUAUGGCUGUUCGCCAUUUAAAGUGGUACGCGAGCUGGGUUUAGAACGUCGUGAGACAGUUCGGUCCCUAUCUGCCGUGGGCGUUGGAAGAUUGAAGGGGGCUGCUCCUAGUACGAGAGGACCGGAGUGGACGAACCUCUGGUGUUCGGGUUGUGUCGCCAGACGCAUUGCCCGGUAGCUAAGUUCGGAAUCGAUAACCGCUGAAAGCAUCUAAGCGGGAAGCGAGCCCUGAGAUGAGUCUUCCCUGAUACUUUAAGUAUCCUAAAGGGUUGUCGGAGACUACGACGUUGAUAGGUCAGGUGUGUAAGUGCUGUGAGGCAUUGAGCUAACUGAUACUAAUUGCCCGUGAGGCUUAACCAUACAACACCCAAGGGGUUU
rnacentral:rRNA from 1 species